CAGCGUGCUGGGUCUCCAUCCUGCAGGCAACCAUGCAGCUGCUGUGGUCCCUCCUCUGCCUUCUGGCAGCUCCCCUGGGUGUCCUAUCUCAACUUACACUUCAGGAGUCAGGCCCAGGACUGGUGAAGCCCUCACAGACACUCUCUCUCACAUGUGUUGUCUCCAGGGGCUCCGUCACCAGCAGUUACUAUUGGAACUGGAUCCGCCAGCGCCCUGGGAGAGCACUGGAGUGGAUGGGCUACUGGACAGGUAGUACAAGCUACAACCCGGCUUUCCAGGGCCGCAUCUCCAUCACUGCUGACACAUCCAAGAACCAGUUCUCCCUGCAGCUGAGUUCCGUGACCACCGAGGACACAGCCGUGUAUUACUGUGCUAGAGGCACACUGAGGAGAAAUCAGUGUGUCCAGUGUGAGGUGCAGCUAGUGGAGUCAGGGGGAGACCUGGUGAAGCCUGGAGCAUCCCUGAGACUCUUCUGUGCAGCCUCUGGAUUCACCUUCAGUAGCUACAAAAUGAACUGGUUCCGCCAAGUUCCAGGGAAGGGCCUGCAGUGGGUCGCAUGGAUUAGAUAUGAUGGAAGUAGCACAAGCUACACAGACUCUGUGAAGGGUCGAUUCACUAUCUCCAGAGACAAAAGCAAGAACACGCUGUAUCUGCAGAUGAACAGCCUGAGAGCAGAGGACACAGCCUGA